CUUAUUUGUUUUUCCUUCCCUUCACAGAUGUUCUGCUUUGCUUCUUUAAUUCCACCUAUGAAUGACACCACAGGGUCAUUCUGUUUUCCAAAUGACCUAUUUCACUUAGGAUGAUCCCUCUAGUUCUAUGCAUGACAUUGCAAAUGGCAAGAUUUCCUUCUCUUUGAUAACUGAGUACCAUUCCUUUCUCUAUGACCAUCAUCUAUCUCCCAUCCUCUUUAUCCCUCAUCUGCCACAGGGCACCGAGGCUCCUCCCACAGUGUGGCAAUGUGGACCCCGCUGCUGUGGACAUUGGGGUGCAGUUGUCCCACAUCUCACUGCAUCUGUAUCUUCGGAGUGAGCUCCAGGCCGUACACCUGCUGGUCGCAGGGCGGCUCUAUUUGCAACUUCCUGAGGAGCCUCCACACUGUUUCCAGGGUGCCUGCAGCAGCCCACGGUCCCGCCCACAGUGGAAGAGGGUUGAGUGAGUUUUACAGGACAUGGUAAAAGUCUGGUCCACAUUUCGUUUCACAUCCUUUGGGCUCCAAUUCUUUCUCCUUAAGUAUUUUUGGGGAAGCCGGGUGUUGGGCUCUUUUUCAGGCAGAUGUUUCCGAAGAUAACAGGCCACAGCUAGAGCCUGGAAGGAGGCAGAGGUGGGCCCAGAGACGGGCACGCUGCCUCCUGCACAGCCUCCUGUAGCGACUGAGCAUCCCGCAGUGGGUGCCCAGCCCAGGCACCGCCCAGGGGGCAUGCAUGUGCAGUAGGCCUCCUUUGCCUGCACUAACAGGAGCCAGCCUGUGCUGGGGAGGCCUGAGGAAGAUGUGGGGACAUGUCCACGUGGAUGAGCCACAGCCUCCUCAGAAACUACGCAGAGUCUUCAGGGGGAUAUUGGGCAGCGUUCAUGAUGACAGGAGCCUCAGUCUCUUCAGGACACACGGUGAGGCUUCAGGAAGAUGUGGGCCAACAUCCACCCUGACAAGAGACCCUGGGCCGCUUCCGGCCCUGCGGGGAGGCUUCAGGAAAUUGUGGGCCUGCACCCACCCUGACAGGAGCCCCUGGGCUGCCUCAGGACCCGCGGGGAGGCUUCAGUAAGAUGUGGGCCUGCAUCCACGCUGACAGGAGCCCCUGGGCCACCUGAGGACAUGCCUGGAGGCUUCUGAAAGAUGUGGCGCUGUGUCCACUCUGGCAGGAGCUAACUGGUUCCUCAGGUCAUAAGUUGAGGCUUCUGGAAGCUGGGGGCAGCAUCCACAGUGACAGGAGCCCCAGCCAUUCAGAACCUGUGGUGUCGCUUUGGGAGGACGUGGGGCCACGUCCACACAACAGACACUGAUGUCCUCAGGACACCCGGUGUAGUCUUCAGGAAAUAUGGAGAUGCGUCCAUGCAGACAGAAGACCCCAGCCUUGUCAGAGCCUGUGGUGAGGCCUAAGGAAGAUGUGGAUGCUGAAUCCACACUGACAGGAGUCUCCAGCCUCCUCAGGAUGCACUGUGAAGGAUCGGGAUGAUUUGGGGCCACGUCCGUGCUGACAGGAGCUCCCAGGCUCCUCAAGUCUUAUGGUGAGGCAGAGGAAAAUGUGGGGCCAUGUCCUCCUCAGGACCUGCACUUUGGCUUCGGGACACAUGAGGCUGCGUCUAGGCUGACAGGAACCCACAGCCUCCUCAGGACCCACUGUGAGUUUUCUGGGGGACGUGGGUCCAUGUCCAGGCUGACAGGAGCCUCCAGCAUCCUGAGAACCUGCUGUGAGGCUUCCAGAGUAUGUGAGGCAUAAUCCAGGUUGACAGGAGACCCGGGUCCUCAGUACCCGCUGACUAUGACUCAGGAACACGUGGGGCCAUGUCCCCACUCACAGGAGCCCGGCUUCCUCAGGACCCCCUGGAGGACUCUGGAGGCGCCGUUGGGGGCCACGUCCAUGUCAGAAGGGACUCCUCAGAACUCUGGCUCUUCUUCACAGGGGCCUGGGAUUGCUGGACGUGUGCAAAUGCUGAACUUAAAGUGGAAUGGCCAUAAUGUUCUCGGCCUCCCCACGUCCCGUCCCAUACUUUCUAGCUCCUGCCGCCCUCCCCGGAGCUCCUAAGAGAGCAAUUGCAAAUGACCUCAGCGUGGCAGCCUGUGUUGGGGGACAAGCCCCGGGAUUUGCGAUCAGGAAGACCUGGAGAUCGGCGUAUCGGCUAUGCAGCGUGAUUUGACGCUGCAGACUCUUAUUCCCUAAGGCUAUCUUGACAACUGACUUUGUACAUAGAAAAGUUCUCCUUUGUCUUUAAAAGAUGAGGAGAAAGUCAAAGCGUUUUUUCUCUGCCCAUCUGAUUGCUCAGAUUCCAAUCUGAGAUGUAUUGACUGUUAAUAUGGAUAAUGUACUAUCCGUAGUAGUAUUGUUAAAAUAUUCUGACACUAGUAAUUCAGAGGGAUGAGGCUUUCUCAACUAUUUCUUCACAGCUCAGUCACUCAUCAGAAAAUGCAUCUUUAUGGAUUUGGAAAUAACUGAGAGACAUUAUUACCAAUGGUCCUAUUAUUAUGUGAAGGAUUCUUCCCUGAAAUUCUUCCCCUGUUUCAACUGACACUGAAACACUGUGAACUCUUUGGAAGACAAAUGUCAAGGAGAUAAAUGUUAUGCUUUGCUAACUUUAAAUGCACUUGCAAUAUGGUGUCUAUUAUAAUAAAAGUUUUUUAAUCUGA